rnacentral:rRNA from 1 species
AACGAACGCUGGCGGCAUGCCUAACACAUGCAAGUCGAACGAGAUCUUCGGAUCUAGUGGCGCACGGGUGCGUAACGCGUGGGAAUCUGCCCUUUGCUUCGGAAUAACAGUUAGAAAUGACUGCUAAUACCGGAUGAUGUCUUCGGACCAAAGAUUUAUCGGCAAAGGAUGAGCCCGCGUAGGAUUAGGUAGUUGGUGGGGUAAAGGCCUACCAAGCCGACGAUCCUUAGCUGGUCUGAGAGGAUGAUCAGCCACACUGGGACUGAGACACGGCCCAGACUCCUACGGGAGGCAGCAGUGGGGAAUAUUGGACAAUGGGCGAAAGCCUGAUCCAGCAAUGCGCGUGAGUGAUGAA